AUUGAACGCUGGCGGCAGGCCUAACACAUGCAAGUCGAGCGGAGCGGCGGACGGGUGAGUAAUGCCUAGGAAUCUGCCUGGUAGUGAGGGAUAACGUCAGGAAACGGGCGCUAAUAUCGCAUACUAUCAGAUGAGCCUAGGUCGGAUUAGCUAGUGGGUGAGGUAAAGGCCUACCAAGGCGACGAACCGUAACUGGUCUGAGAGGAUGACCAGUCAAACUGGAACUGAGACACGGUCCUGACUCCUACGGGAGGCAGCAUUGGGGAAUAUUGGACAAUGGGCGAAAGCCUGAUGCAGCCAUGCCGCGUGUGUGAAGAAGGUCUUCGGAUGGUAAAGCACUUUAAGUUGGGAAGCGGUACCAAAAGAAUAAGCACCGGCUAACUACGUGCCAGCAGCCGCGGUAAUAC
rnacentral:rRNA from 1 species